GACGAACGCUGGCGGUGUGCUUAAUACAUGCAAGUCAAACGAUGAGGCCCUUCGGGGUACAUCAGUGGCGGACGGCUGAGUAACGUGUAGGUAACGUGCCCUUACUGGGGGAUAACAUCGGGAAACCGGUGCUAAUACCGCAUAAGUCACGAUGUGGAAUAGUUGUGAUUAAAGAAUUUCGGUAAAGGAUCGGCCUGCGUCUGAUUAGCUAGUUGGUAGGGUAAAGGCCUACCAAGGCAAUGAUCAGUAGUUGGUCUGAGAGGAUGACCAGCCAGAGUGGGACUGAGACACGGCCCACACUUCUACGGAAGGCAGCAGUAGGGAAUUUUGCGCAAUGGGCGAAAGCCUGACGCAGCAACACCGCGUGCGGGAUUACGGCCUUCGGGUUGUAAACCGCUGUCAGCAGGGAAUAUAAUGACUGUACCUGCAGAGGAAGCAUCGGCUAACUACGUGCCAGCCGCCGCCGUAACAC
rnacentral:rRNA from 1 species